UUGAAAGUGCAGAAGAAAAGUAACAUCACCUUGGGUCUACUUCUGAGGAAUGCACUAAAUAGAUACUCCACGCUUUAACCCCAAUGACUCCAACCAAAAAUUGAUGUACAGAUUUACGAAGAACUGCCUGGAAAAGAAUAGCACAGGGGAACGCAGGGUUUUCUUCCUCAGACGCAUCCUGAAGGCUGUAAUGCCUGGCUUUUUCCAUCCUUGCUGAUAAUAUGGUGAUACCAUCAGUGUGAAUUUUAGAUCAGCAGAUAUAAUUAAUGGUGGACUGAAAAUCAGCAUCUACAUAUCAAGACCCAGGAGCAAUACAUUAUGCAUCCAGUUUGCACCAAGCAAUGUUGAAAUAAUGCUUAAGAUAAAUCCCAUCAGGUUGAAGAUCUUCAAGGAGGCCGUGUUCUUCAACUAUGCGAUGGGUGAUCCAUAAAGUUGCUGAUUUUACAUGCAGUAUGUAGAGAGAUACGUAACAAAAAGAUCUGUAUUUCAAAUCAUAAAAAUCUCAAUACAUAUACAAGCAUCUUUGUAUUGCAGUAUGCUGGAGUGUUGGCUUCAGCCUUCAUUUGCAUUUCAGAAUGAAAAUAGACACAAAGAAACCUGAUAUCAUAACUCUCUUGUUUGCUUGCUGUUUUGUUUUUUUUUUUUCUUUAGUUCUUUUUCUCCCUCCCAGUCUUUCUUUGUUUUUAAAAGCAAGCACUUAUAUUUAUAGACCUGCCGCAGGUUUUCUCCUUUAAAAAAAAUGCCUCCACUAAAGCUAACACCAAUAAUAGUCUCAAGGGAGUCCAAACAGUAGAGUGACUGUGCAGAAAUACAGGGGGAUAUUUAAACCAAGCAAUCCUUGAAUGCCAUUUUGGUACUUUCUAUAAUCUGUUUGCACUUC